UCCCUCCCUGGAGAACACUGCCUCCCUCUUGUGGGCUCUGCUACUGCUAGUGGAGAGGGAAACCUUACAGAACACCAUGCAGAUUCCUGUCCCAGUUAAGCUGUUUCUGGCUUCCAGUAACAGAAUACCAACUCAAAACGUCAUAAACACGAAGAGAAGGUGUUAUCUCCCGUAACUUUAAGUAGGGGUAGGUUGUAGGGGUGGUUGAUGAUUCAGGGGCUCAGCAGCAUCAUCUGGAACUCAGCUGCCUCUGUUUCUCCACUCUGCUAUUUAUGCCACUGACUUCAUCCUUGUCCAUGUGCAGGAUGCCAAGACAACUGGUUCUUUCCUCAGACAACUCCAGCAAACCACACCUGACAUCUCAUUAGCCCAAUCCCAGGAGCAUUUAAUUCAACUGGAUACUCCCAGCACCAAAUCUCCCCUCUAAGAAACAUGGCUGAGACCAAAGAAAGAAGCAAGAAUGCCCUCUGAAGAGCCAGCUCAAUCUCCUGGAGUCAGAGCCAGCAGGUGUGGAACCCUUAUCACAGAAGAAGCACCCUGAGCCCCAAAUCAAAGCUUAUUUCAUCUCAGCACAAAACUUAAGUAAUUUUGUUUUUCUGGUUUCUAUGCCAACAGGCUAGAAGGGUUUUAUACAAUGCUAAUUUCUUGGGUAGAAUUUUAAAGCAAUCCUGCUGUAAGAAAUACUAAAUCCUACUUUGGAAUCCUGUUGACUUAUAUCCUCAGUCCUAUUUCAGGGCUUCUUC
rnacentral:lncRNA from 1 species